rnacentral:rRNA from 1 species
CCCUUAGAUGUUCUGGGCUGCACGCGCGCUACACUGAAGCGUUCAACGAGUAUUCACCUUGCCCGGGAGGGUUGGGUAAUCUUUUGAAAACGCUUCGUGAUGGGGAUAGAUUAUUGCAAUUAUUAAUCUUCAACGAGGAAUUCCUAGUAAGCGCGAGUCAUCAGCUCGUGCUGAUUACGUCCCUGCCCUUUGUACACACCGCCCGUCGCUCCUACCGAUUGAGCAAUCCGGUGAAUAUUUCGGACCGAAUAUCUGCGGGGCAACCCAUGGACGUUUGGAAAGUCAAGUAAACCUUAUUGCUUAGAGGAAGGAGAAGUCGUAACA